UUUCUUCACUUGCAAUU
rnacentral:sRNA from 1 species